AUCACUUCUCAGCCUUUUGGCUAAGAUCAAGUGAAGUAAUUUUAUUUUAUUAUUAUUUUUUUAAUUUUUUAAAAUGUUUUAUUUAUUUUUGAUACAGAGAGUGACAGAGCAUGAGACGGGGAGGGACAGAGAGAGAAGGAGACACAGAACCAGACGCAGGCUCCAGGCUCUGAGCUGUU
rnacentral:snRNA from 1 species